rnacentral:rRNA from 1 species
AGGGCUACACACGUGUUACAAUGGUCGGUACAGGAGGGCAGCUACCCGGUGACAGGAUGCUAAUCUCGAAAACCGGUCUCAGUUCGGAUCGAAGUCUGCAACUCGACUUCGUGAAGCUGGAUUCGCUAGUAAUCGCGCAUCAGCUAUGGCGCGGUGAAUACGUUCCCGGGCCUU